rnacentral:rRNA from 1 species
UACGUAGGGUGCGAGCGUUAAUCGGAAUUAUUGGGCGUAAAGGGCCAGUAGGCGGCCAACUAAGUCGGAUGUGAAAUCCCCAGGCUCAACUUGGGAACUGCAUCCGAUACUGGAUGGCUUGAAUUCGGGAGAGGGAUGCAGAAUUCCAGGUGUAGCGGUGAAAUGCGUAGAUAUCUGGAGGAAUACCGGUGGCGAAGGCGGCAUCCUGGACCGACAUUGACGCUGAACGGCGAAAGCUAGGGGAGCAAACGGG